GGCUCAAUUUUUUCAACUUACCUACAUCGUGAAACAACACACUUUUGUUCUCAUUAUUUUAACAAUGAAACGUUGUCACCAGUUAACGGAAGAAACAAAACUUAUAGUGUUAUAUGUGACCCACAUGCUUUAUCAGUUUUUUGCUUGUCUGGUCAUCAUGCUUGUAAGGAUUUUCUGAUUUUCUAGCCAAGUGACAAAGUAUUUAACAAACAUUCAUCCCUCCCAUUCUCAGAAAACUCAUGCAAAAAAAAACAAAAUUGCAAUAAAAUGGCAAAAAUGAGGAAAACAAAUGAAUUGAUGACAGUGAAAAGAGAGAACUAACCUUGAAAGAUGAGAAGGAGGAUAACUUUGGAGAGGGGACUGUUGUGAAAAAACAAAGAGGAUAUUCUUUUAUUUCUCUUGCGGUUUUAGAAAUUGAGAUGAAAGGAAACAUUGUUUUUAUAUUUGUAUUCGUUGUGGUGGAAGUUAUUUUGGGGUUUAGCAUUUUCCUUCCUUCUUUGUUAGAAAGCAAAAGAAAAAGGGCUUUGCAGACUUGUGUGGAAUUGGAUUUGAAAGCGCCAAUUUCUCACCGCCCAAUUCCAAGUGGUGUCGUUAUGUAUUGUCUUCCUCCUUCACACUCACUCUUCUUCACAAUGAAUAAUCAGAGGUCCAUGUCUCUCCUUUAGUUUAUAGGUGAUGAAGGACUCGUUCCCUCUCCACAAGAGGAACAAAAAAGG